UCGGGUUUAAAUAAACGGGUCUGCAACUCUGCACCGGUCCGCCAACGCGAGCACCCGAUGAUGCUACUUAGUACGUUCGUCUCAAAACACAAACAUACACAGAACCUACACAGGACCGGGUUCAAUGGGGAGCAGUCGUGUUGGAGGCCAAGACACACUUUGGGUUGCUGCGCCUGAGGAGUAAGUAAAUAUUUUAUCUCUCCCAAAAAUUAGAGAAGCGCAUUCAAUUAAAAAAAAACUGGCCAAGUACGAGUCGGACUCGCGCACGAAGGGU